AAAUAGCAACAAAUUCAAACUCUCUUCGGCUUCUUUCUUUAUUGAAAAUGGUUUUCGCUCCGCUUUAUAUAUAAAGCAACAACCAUACAUUACAGCCAUCACCACAACAAAGAAGGAAAAUAAGAGAACCGAAAAUCAACAGGGUACAAACACUAUGGAACAACAAGCGACGACCUCCGAUCAUGCCAUCGACGCAACCGCGUAAGGGAGCAAUUCACCACCGGAGGAAGGCCAUGCUCCAUCAACUCCCAAGGGCCAACCCUGUUGUCCUACCUUCAGCCUCUGCCUCCGAAGAGGGCACCCCUGCCUUCUCGUCCUAGAUCAAAGGACUCCGGCCCGUCAGGAGGCAGAAUAGCUCACCCCCGAGCACGGAUGGACUGGCCAACAUGUUGUUGGGGAGAGGACGAGCCCUGGCCACCUCACCUCUCAUAAGAACCCAUACAACGUGCCCGUCAGCGGCCAAGACCAAGGAACCCACCGCCAUUGCCAAGCAGGGUCACGUUAGAAGAACAGGCAAACCACCACCGCUCUGAGCCCCUGGCCAUCCUGGACUCCCAAGGCAGCGUCUUCAAGAAGAAAACGAUGCCGACGCACUGUCGCCGCCCAAUCAAGAGAUUUUAGGCUUUCGCCCGGGACCAUGGGGUGGAAGGCGAGGAGAGGGUCUCGAUGUUGCUCACCAGAGGGAGAACGGCGCCGCAAGCGCCGCCAACAUCGUGACCGGCACCACCGGUCAAGGGUUUCCCCCGACCCAGAGCUUGCAUCGCCAUUGCUCCGCCAACCAGCCGAGCAGGACGUCCGGAGGAAGCCCGCAAACCAGCUAACAAAGGAGGACAAGCAUGGUGAUGCCACCAACUUCAGAUCGGAUCCAAGCCCGCCACUGACUCGCCGCCCAGCACGGCCAAGACGGCGCACCGAGCACCGGCGCCAAACCCCGUCAACAAGGGGGAGACGCCCUCUCCAGCUGUGGUCGCAGGUCCCAGGGGGCCAGAUCGGCUUCUUUCUUUCUCGGCAGUCUUGGUCUCUCCUAAACCAUAAAAUCGCGUGUCACCAAAGAACAUAUACCAGCCAUUAUCAAAUAGGAUCAAUAUCACUCAACAUCACACGACCAUUGCGUGUCACUAUUACAAGGUACACAAAAC
rnacentral:lncRNA from 1 species